UACGUAGGGUGCGAGCGUUAAUCGGAAUUACUGGGCGUAAAGCGUGCGCAGGCGGUUUUGUAAGCCAGGUGUGAAAUCCCCGGGCUCAACCUGGGAAUGGCAUUUGGGACUGCAAGGCUGGAGUGCGGCAGAGGAGACUGGAAUUCCUGGUGUAGCAGUGAAAUGCGUAGAUAUCAGGAGGAACACCUGUGGUGUAGACAGCUUACUGGACCAUUUCUGGCGCUGAGACACGAAAGCGUGGGUAGCAAACAGG
rnacentral:rRNA from 1 species